rnacentral:rRNA from 1 species
UACGUAGGGGGCUAGCGUUGUCCGGAUUUAUUGGGCGUAAAGAGCGUGUAGGCGGCCAGGUAGGUCUGGUGUGAAAACUCGAGGCUCAACCUCGAGACGCCGGUGGAAACCGUAAAGCUAGAGUCCGGAAGAGGAGAGUGGAAUUCCUGGUGUAGCGGUGAAAUGCGCAGAUAUCGGGAGGAACACCAAUGGCGAAGGCAGCUCGCUGGGACGGUACUGACGCUGAGAUGCGAAAAGCGUGGGGAGCAAACAGG